GGCACAGUUUAGCACACUGAUACAGCAUACCGUCGGCCCCGCUGUAAGUGAUGCCGCACUAAGGAACACUUUCACCCAAACUCCUUUGGGGGACAGAACACUACCCAGGCUACAGUUCAUUUAUGUGUUAUUUUUUGUUGUUGCUGUAUAAUAACCGUUACAAAAAUGAAAACAGUGUUGUCAGAAUUGAAGUUUUCAGACAUCGUACCAAACUGUUUCCUUUUUGCGCGUUCUUGGAUGGAAGUUUAUGCGCUUGGAAGCUUUAACACAUGCUGAGUGAAACGAUCUUCCAUACAAGCGGUUUUCACCAUUUAUAUCAGGAGAAAACAUUUAAAAAACACACACACACACGUAGGGCUAGGGCUAUUUCAUGUGACUCAAUCAACCUGGACCAUCAGCAUCUCUCCUGCCGCACCGUAAUUGAACCAGGCUUAACUCAAGAUAUUUGAAGAGGAUUUACGUCGGCUCUUCGAGUUACAAAGUUAUUCCGCAAGCAAUGCUUUUUUUGCCUUUCGAAUGUGGACCAUAGACUUUUUAGGACAUGGAUCAUUUUCUGUAGCGGAUAACCCUAUUGAUUUGCGUUAUAUUUGAUUCCCGCUACCAGAACAGGAUCUUUUUCUCUCCCCUAUUCCACUUCAGUGUAAUUCUAUGGCACUUCUUCUAAAGCAGUGAUGUCGCUACGUGACGGGAAUUGCGAUUGAUUUGACAUAUUCUGUUUCAAAGGGAUAUAAGAGUUGCAUCCUUACAAGGAAAGCUCCCAUCCUCUAUGAUUAUGGACUUAGCAGGUCAGACUCGUGUGUUGGUGGUGUUCCUCACCUGCCUGGUCAUGCUGUCCUGGGCCCAAGAGAAGGACUACACGGUGAGGGAGGAGCAGCCCGAGAAUGUCCGCAUCGGGAACCUACGGAAGGACCUGGACCUGAACCUUGACCCUGACUUCAAGCUGACCUCGCCACUGCAGUUUAAGCCUGUCUACAAAACGGGCGAUGUGCCUUUGGUGAGGGUAGAGGCCAACACCGGGGAGAUCUUCACCACGGCUCACCGCAUCGACCGCGAGAAGCUCUGCUCGGGAGUAUUCAACGAGAAGCGCUGCUUCUACGAGAUCGAGGUCGCCGUUCUGCCUGACGAGAUCUUCCGUCUGGUCAAGAUCCGGUUCCUGAUUGAGGACAUCAAUGACAACGCUCCACUCUUCCAGUCCACCGUAAUAAACAUCUCCAUCCCAGAGAACACAGCCAUCAACACCCGGUACCCUGUGCCCUCUGCAUUUGACCCAGAUGUGGGGAUCAAUGGGAUCCAACACUAUGAACUUGUCAAGAGUGUGAGUGAGUUUGGCCUGGACAUCAUCGAGACCCCAGAGGGAGACAGAUGGCCUCAGCUGAUCGUCCAGCAGAGCCUGGACCGCGAGCAGAAGGACACCUUCGUCAUGAAGAUCAAGGUGGAGGACGGAGGAACGCCACCCAAGUCCAGCACGGCCAUCCUCCAGGUUACCAUCUCCGACGUCAACGACAAUCGACCGGUCUUCAAGGACAGUGAGGUGGAGGUGAACAUCCCCGAGAACGCCCCCAUAGGAACCUCCGUCACCCAACUCCACGCCACAGACGCAGACCUCGGCUCCAACGCCCAGAUCCACUUCUCCUUCUCUAAUCAGAUCUCCUCAUCCACCAAGAGGCAUUUUUCCAUAGACAGCACCACCGGGCUGAUCACUGUCAAGCAGCCCUUAGACCGGGAGGCCACUCCAGUCCACAAACUCAUUGUCCUGGCCAGCGACGGCAGCUCCACCCCCUCCAGAGCUGCUGUUAUCGUCAACGUAAUGGACAUUAAUGACAACGUUCCAUCCAUAGACACUCGGUACAUAAUGAACCUUGUAAAUGGAACGGUUCUACUGUCGGAGAAUGCUCCUCUCAACACAAAAAUAGCCCUAAUUACAGUGACGGACAAGGACUCUGAUCUGAACGGAAAAGUGACUUGUUAUACUGACCACGAUGUUCCUUUCAGGUUAAAGCCUGUCUUUAAUGACCAGUUCCUGCUGGAGACUGCGGCCCCCCUAGAUUACGAAACAACCAGGGAAUAUGCAAUUAAGAUAGUAGCGUCGGAUUCUGGGAAGCCUCCUUUGAACACGUCAGCGAUGGUUUUAAUAAAAAUUAAGGACGAGAAUGACAACGCUCCCAUCUUCCCUCAACCUGAGAUUCAGCUGUCCAUACCAGAGAACAAUGAUCCAUCCACGCAGCUCAUAAAGAUCAGUGCCACGGAUGCCGACAGCGGACAUAAUGCAGAGAUUAUUUACUCUCUUGGCCCUGACGCUCCUGAUGGGUUUAACAUAGAUCGACGGUCAGGUAUCCUCACCGUUGGAAAACGCCUGGACAGAGAGAAGCAGGAGAAGUAUUCGUUCACUGUCAUGGCGAGGGACAAUGGGUCUACUUCCCUGCAGAGCAAUGUCACAGUGAGGUUAAUAGUGCAGGACCUCAACGACAACAGCCCAGCUUUCACCCAUCCUGAGUAUAACUUCUACGUGCCUGAGAACCUGCCUCUGUACGGGACCGUGGGUCUGAUCACCGUCACAGAUUCAGACGCAGGUGACAACUCCGUCAUAACACUGUCCAUCCUGAACGGGAAAGACAAUUUCAUUAUUGAUCCCCAGACCGGUGUGAUCAAACCCAACAUCACGUUUGAUAGAGAGCUGCAAAGCUCAUACACUUUUAUGGUGAAGGCUAUAGACGGAGGGCAACCACCCAGCACUUCAUACGCCAAGGUCACCAUAAACGUUGUGGAUGUCAAUGACAAUCGACCCGUUUUUGUUAUCCCCUCAUCCAACUACUCUUACGAUCUGGUCCAGUCUACCACCAGCCCUGGGUCUGUGGUCACCAGAGUGUUCGCUAUAGACAAUGACACUGGCAUGAAUGCUGAGCUGCAGUACAGUUUCAUUGGGGGAUCACCAAGAGGGCUGUUUUCCAUAGACAAAACAACUGGUAAUAUAACUCUGCAGGAGAAGAUAGUCUCAGCCGAUCAGGGUUUACACAGGCUAGUGGUGAAAGUCAAAGACCUGGGCCAGCCAGAGUCCUUACACGCAAUCGCCCUCAUUCACCUGUUCAUUAACGAGACUGUAUCCAACGCUACGUUCAUUCUAGAGCAGCUACGUAAGAGCUUGGAGACUCCAUUGGACCGUAACGUGGGAGACAGUGAGGUCACACCCCAAGCCAACGGAUACGUGAUUGUUGUCAUCGCAAUUAUAGCUGGGACUAUGACAGUCAUCUUAGUCAUCUUCGUGACGGCCUUGGUGCGCUGCCGUCAGACGCCCAGGCACAAAGUGGUGCAGAAGGGCAAGCAGAGCGGCGAGUGGGUGUCGCCCAACCAGGAGAACCGUCAAAUCAAAAAGAAAAAGAAGAAAAAGAAGAGAUCCCCUAAGAGCCUCCUCUUGAACUUUGUCAGCAUAGAAGAAUCCAAGCCUGAUGAUCCCAGCCAGGAGCACAUUAAUGGAACCCUGGACCUGCCUGUGGAGCUAGAUGAGCAGACCAUGGGGAAAUAUAACUGGGCCACUACUCCGACCACCUUCAAACCUGACAGCCCAGACUUAGCCAAGCAUUACAAGUCUGCCUCCCCCCAGCCAACCUUCCAAAUCAAACCAGAGACCCCGAUGGCGCCCAAUAAACACCACGUGAUUCAGGAGCUCCCGCUGGACAACACGUUUGUGGUGGGCUGUGACUCGCACUCCAAGUGCUCCUCCACCAGCUCAGACCCGUACUCGGUCUCAGAGUGCAGCUGUCAAGGGGGAUUCAAGACUCCUGGGCAAAUCCACACCAGACAGAAUCAGGGCCAGACACCGGAAAAGUCCUUGAACUCAAACGCAUCCACGUGUCCCCAUAAGGAGGUGUGUCAUCUCGGCAAGAUAACCCCUGCUAACACCCAGCGUCGUGUGACGUUCCACCUCCCGGAUGGUUCUCAGGAGAGCUGUAGCGACAGUGGUCUAGGGGACCACGAGCCCAGCAGCACUGCCAGCACCACUCAGCCUCUCCCCCUCGGCUUCCCCCAGGAAGAGUACUACCAACAGACUUCGCCCAACAGCCGCACCGAGGGAGACGGAAACUCUGACCCUGAGUCCACCAUGGUGGAGGUGAACCUGACCAAGGCCCUGGACGAAGCCUCCGAGACUUGCACCCAGGAAUGUCUGAUCCUGGGCCACUCCGACAGCUGCUGGAUGCCCCCCUCCCUGGUGACCCAGUUCCAGUCUCCGUCCAACACGGGUACCCUGCCUACCCUGCCUUCCUUUGGCUUCCAGCAUCAGCAGAGUUACCCCUGGGCCAGGGGAGUCAAGGCGGACGGGCGUCAGUGCCAUACCCUGGGAAGGCCUGCGCCCAAAGACGAUCUGGCUAAAGGGAUGAACCGACCGCAGUUCUACAACACUCUGGAAAGACACUGCAGUAGCAAGAGUAAGGAGUCUGACCCUGUCAAGGUCAUCCCUUUGGCCAGCUUUUCCUCGCCUUUGUCGGGCCAGCAGACCCCAGCCACCGAGGGAUCGUCUGCCUUCUUACAUGAGCAUCAGCUGUAAGGGGCUGUACGGGGCCAAAUUAACACCAACCAGUUUGUCUAAUGUAUCUUGAUGUAUAUUUAACAUCAGAUGUAAGGGGCUGUAAGGGGACAUAGUAACACCAGCCAUUUGUCUAAUGUAUCUUGAUGUAUCUUUAACAUCAGUAGUAAGGGGCUGUAAGGGGACAGAGUAACACCAACCAAUUUAUCUUGAUAGUUUGUGUGUAUGUGUGUGAACAUGAAAUGUGAAGGAAGGGAUGAUGACAAAGCUGUAACUCAGUCUCCAAAGUGUUGUUACUCAGUCUCCACAGUGUUGUUACUCAGUCUCCACAGUGUUGUAACUCAGUCUCCACAAUGUUGUUAGUCAGUCAGUCUCCACAGUGUUGUUACUCAGUCUCCACAGUGUUGUAACUCAGUCUCCACAGUGUUGUAACUCAGUCUCCACAAUGUUGUUACUCAGUCUCCACAGUGUUGUAACUCAGUCUCCACAAUGUUGUUAGUCAGUCAGUCUCCACAGUGUUGUAACUCAGUCUCCACAGUGUUGUUACUCAGUCUCCACAGUGUUGUAACUCAGUCUCCACAGUGUUGUUACUCAGUCUCCACAAUGUUGUUACUCAGUCUCCACAAUGUUGUAACUCAGUCUCCACAAUGUUGUUACUCAGUCUCCACAGUGUUGUAACUCAGUCUCCACAGUGUUGUUACUGAGUCUCCACAAUGUUGUUACUCAGUCUCCACAAUGUUGUUACUCAGUCUCCACAGUGUUGUUACUCAGUCUCCACAAUGUUGUUACUCAGUCUCCACAAUGUUGUUACUCAGUCUCCACAAUGUUGUUACUCAGUCUCCACAGUGUUGUUACUCAGUCUCCACAGUGUUGUUACUGAGUCUCCACAGUGUUGUUACUCAGUCUCCACAGUGUUGUUACUCAGUCUCCACAAUGUUGUUACUCAGUCUCCACAAUGUUGUUACUCAGUCUCCACAAUGUUGUUACUCAGUCUCCACAAUGUUGUUACUCAGUCUCCACAAUGUUGUUACUCAGUCUCCACAAUGUUGUUACUCAGUCUCCACAAUGUUGUUACUCAGUCUCCACAGUGUUGUUACUCAGUCUCCACAAUGUUGUAACUCAGUCUCCACAAUGUUGUUACUCAGUCUCCACAGUGUUGUUACUCAGUCUCCACAAUGUUGUUACUCAGUCUCCACAAUGUUGUUACUCAGUCUCCACAAUGUUGUUACUCAGUCUCCACAGUGUUGUAACUCAGUCUCCACAGUGUUGUUAGUGAGUCUCCACAAUGUUGUUACUCAGUCUCCACAAUGUUGUUACUCAGUCUCCACAGUGUUGUAACUCAGUCUCCACAGUGUUGUUACUCAGUCUCCACAAUGGUGUUACUCAGUCUCCACAAUGUUGUUACUCAGUCUCCACAAUGUUGUUACUCAGUCUCCACAAUGUUGUUACUCAGUCUCCACAAUGUUGUAACUCAGUCUCCACAAUGUUGUUACUCAGUCUCCACAGUGUUGUUACUCAGUCUCCACAAUGUUGUUACUCAGUCUCCACAGUGGUGUUACUCAGUCUCCACAGUGUUGUUACUCAGUCUCCGCAAUGUUGUUAAGAAGAGGACCUGACAAUGGCUGUACUCAUAGAAUGAUAUUGUGCAAAAGAAAUUGAAAUGUGUAUGAAAUGACAAACUUCUUUGAAGAAAAGCCUAGCUAAAUAUUUGUCCAAUUUAAUCCAUGUACAGUAUAUAAAAAUGGUAAUCCUAUACCAAAGUAGAUUCACAACAGCAAAAAAAAAAUAUAUAUAUAUAUACAUAAGGUCAGCUUUCAGUUUGGUAGAGAUGAUGAUCACUGAUCAAAAAGAUGAAUAAAUACUAUGCAUAUUGGAACCAGCUUAGUGGAACCUUCCCAAACAACAUUUUACUUACCGAUAAAGAAAACACACGUAAAAAAAAAACACACACAGUAGUAUAUCUUGUCGAACAUGUUAUUCGUGAACCCAAGGUGUAGCGGUGUAUUUGGUCCAAUCUCUGGUGAAAUACUGCUUCGUGUAUCCAGCAAGACAUUCAGCUCCAGCUCCUACUGAUGAUCCAAGUUACCUUUUAUCUUGCCUGAAUUAUGUUAAAAGAAUCCCGUCUUGUUCAGGGGUCUUCAGACACAUUCCUAAGACUCAAUGGACAAAACAAUUGUUUCACUCUGUGUCGUGCUAACACUUUAUAUAAAUAUACGGUACAGGUUCUUCCCCCAUUAUAUUCCUAACACUGUGUUCCUCCUCAAAUGUUUCUUGUAUGGCAUGUUUACAAUGCUUUUCACCACUCUACUGCAAACCUACUCAUGUUCUUCAUUGUCUUCCCCCCUGUAAUAAGAACCUAUAUAUUAGCUACAUUAUCUUUCCCCUGUCGUAAGAGCAUACUAAUUUUCUAUAUUAUCUUUCCUUCGUCAUAAGAGCAUACUACUUUUCUACAUUAUCUUUCCCCUGUCGUACGAGCAUACUCAUUUUCUACAUUAUCUUUCCCCUGUCAUAAGAGCAUACUAAUGUUCUACAUUAUCUUUCCCCCGUCAUAAGAGCAUACUAAUUUUCUACAUUAUCUUUCCCCUGUCAUAAGAAUCUACUAAUUUUCAACAUUAUCUUUCCCCUGUCAUAAGAACAUACUAAUUUUCAACAUUAUCUUUCCCCUGUCAUAAGAACAUACUAAUUUUCUACAUUAUCUCUUGAACAGCCCAGACAGAGGUUCCAUGCGAAGAGAUACAGCCUUUGCUUUUCUACCAUACUUUCAGUUUGUUAUCUUCCUUUCAUAAAAUAAUGUUCUGUAUGCAUCGUAAUGUGUGCUGUGGAGCCAAUUAAAAAUAUCUCCCAAUAGUCUAAUUACGUCAUCUCCACAGUAAGUAAUAGCCGUGGUUGACAGUUCUGUAAUAGUUGUCUAGUCUCACUGAAACAUAAUGUAUUUCGUGCUAGUCGGGUAAUGAAAAGGGUGGUACCAGUCAAACGUUUGGACCCAACUAGUCAUUAAAGGGUUUUUCUUUAUUUUUACUAUUUUCUACACUGUAUACAAUUAGUGAGGACUUCAAAACUAUUAAAUAACACAUAUGGACUCACGUAGUGACCCCCCAAAAAAGGUGUUUAACAUAUCAAAUCAAAAUCACCCUUUACCUUGAUGACAGCUUUGCAUACUCCUGGCAUUCUAUCAACCAGCUUCAUGAGGAAUGCUUUUCCAACAGUCUUGGAGGAGUUCCCACAUAUGCUGAGCACUUGCUGUCUGCAUUUUCCUUCACUCUGCUGUCCAACUCAUCCCAAACCAUCUCAUUUGGGUUGAGGUCGGGGGAUUGUGGAGGACAGGUAAUCUGAUGCAGCACCAUCACUCUCCUUCUUGGUCAAAUAGCCCAUACACAGCCUGGAGGUGUGUUUUGGGUCAUUGUCCUGUUGAAAAAAUAAGGAUAGUUCCACUAAGUGUAAACCAGAUGAGAUGGCGUAUCGCUGCAGAAUGCUGUGGUAGCCAUGCUGGUAAAGUGUGACUUGAAUUUUAAAUAUAUCACAGACAGUGUCAACAGCAAAGCACACCCAAAACAUGACACCUCCUCUUCCAUGCUUCACGGUGGGAACCACACAGGUUUGCGUCUCACACAAGAUACGGCAGUUGGAACCAAAAAUCUCAAAUUAGGACUCAUCAGAGCAAAGGGGAGAUUUCCACAGGUCUAAAUGCCCAUUGCUCGUGUGUCUUGGCCCAAGCAAGACUUUUCUUCUUAUUCGUGUCCUUUAGUGGUGAAUUCUUUGCAGCAAUGUAACCAUGAAGGCCUGAUUCACUCAGUCUCCUAUGAACAGUUGAUGUUGAGAGGUGUCUGCUACCUGAACUCUGUGAAACAUUUAUUUGGGCUGCAUUCUGAGGUGCAAUUAUCUCUAAUGGACUUAUGUUCUGCAGCAUGUUCUUGAAAUGUUACGGAUUGACUGACCUUCAUCUUUUAAAGUAAUAAUGGACUGUCAUUUCUCUUUGCUUAUUUGAGCUGUUCUUGCCAUAAUAUGGACUUAGUCUUUUACCGAAUAGGGCUAUCUUCUGUAUACCCACCCCUACGUUGUCACAACACAACUGGUUGGCUCAAAUGCAUUAAGAAGGAAAGAAAUUCCACAAAUUAACUUUUUUAUUUUUUUUUAUUUUUUUAUUUCACCUUUAUUUAACCAGGUAGGCUAGUUGAGAACAAGUUCUCAUUUGCAACUGCGACCUGGCCAAGAUAAAGCAUAGCAGUGUGAACAGACAACACAGAGUUACACAUGGAGUAAACAAUUAGCAAGUCAAUAACACAGUAGAAAAAAAUGGGCAGUCUAUAUACAAUGUGUGCAAAAGGCAUGAGGAGGUAGGCGAAUAAUACAAUUUUGCAGAUUAACACUGGAGUGAUAAAUGAUCAGAUGGGCAUGUACAGGUAGAGAUAUUGGUGUGCAAAAGAGCAGAAAAGUAAAUAAAUAAAAACAGUAUAAAAACAGUAUGGGAAUGAGGUAGGUGAAAAAGGGUGAGCUAUUUACCUAUAGACUAUGUACAGCUGCAGCGAUCGGUUAGCUGCUCGGAUAGCUGAUGUUUGAAGUUGGAGAGGGAGAUAAAAGUCUCCAACUUCAGCGAUUUUUGCAAUUCGUUCCAGUCACAGGCAGCAGAGUACUGGAACGAAAGGCGGCCAAAUGAGGUGUUGGCUUUAGGGAUGAUCAGUGAGAUACACCUGCUGGAGCGCGUGCUACGGAUGGGUGUUGCCAUCGUGACCAGUGAACUGAGAUAAGGCGGAGCUUUACCUAGCAUGGACUUGUAGAUGACCUGGAGCCAGUGGGUCUGGCGACGAAUAUGUAGUGAGGGCCAGCCGACUAGAGCAUACAAGUCGCAGUGGUGGGUGGUAUAAGGUGCUUUAGUGACAAAACGGAUGGCACUGUGAUAGACUGCAUCCAGUUUGCUGAGUAGAGUGUUGGAAGCCAUUUUGUAGAUGACAUCGCCGAAGUCGAGGAUCGGUAGGAUAGUCAGUUUUACUAGGGUAAGCUUGGCAGCGUGAGUGAAGGAGGCUUUGUUGCGGAAUAGAAAGCCGACUCUGGAUUUGAUUUUUGAUUGGAGAUGUUUGAUGUGAGUCUGGAAGGAGAGUUUGCAGUCUAGCCAGACACCUAGGUACUUAUAGAUGUCCACAUAUUCAAGGUUGGAACCAUCCAGGGUGGUGAUGCUAGUCGGGCAUGCGGGUGCAGGCAGCGAUCGGUUGAAAAGCAUGCAUUUGGUUUUACUCGCGUUUAAGAGCAGUUGGAGGCCACGGAAGGAGUGCUGUAUGGCAUUGAAGCUCGUUUGGAGGUUGGAUAGCACAGUGUCCAAUGACACACCUGUUAAUUGAAAUACAUUCCAGGUGACUACCUCAUGAAGCUGGUUGAGAGAAUGCCAAGAGUGUGCAAAGUUAUCAAUUAAGGCAAAGGAUGGCUACUUUUAAGAAUAUAACAAAUAUUUGGAUUCGUUAAACACUUUUGUUGGUUACUACAUGAUUACAUACGUGUUAUUGCAUAGCUUUGAUGUCUUCACUAUUAUUUUACAAUCUAGAAAAUAGUCAAAAAAAUUAAGAAAAACCCUUGAAUGAGUAGGUGUGUCCAAACGUUUGACUGGUACUGCAUACAGUCUGGCCGCAAAUAGCUUUUUAUUUGUUUUAAUUUGUACCCGUCCGUAUCACGUCAGGUUAUAGUAACCACUAUAAUAAGAAUUUCUACAUCCAUAUUCAGGCAGCCUAACAUAGAGGAUAUAUUUUCCAUAUUCACAUACAUCCUUUCUAUAAUACGUUCUCCUGUGUUUUAUCCACUAUGUCUUUAAAUUAACCACAUGUCCAUAGUUUCAAGGAUGUUCAUUCUGAAUAACAGUUGACUGUCAUAGAUUUGGCUAACAUUGCAUAACGAUCAUCAGUUAAUACAUUUUAAUUGGUUUACAACUGUGUCCUCUAGCGGCUUGUGAAAGAAACAGGACAUGUUUAGGGUACCAUUCUCCCUGCACGGUUAGACGGUAACAGGACAUGUUUAGGGUACCAUUCUCCCUGCAGGGUUAGACGGUAACAGGACAUGUUUAGGGUACCAUUCUCCCUGCAGGGUUAGACAGUAACAGGACAUGUUUGGGGUACCAUUCUCCCUGCAGGGUUAGACAGUAACAGGACAUGUUUAGGGUACCAUUCUCCCUGCACGGUUAGACGGUAACAGGACAUGUUUAGGGUACCAUUCUCCCUGCAGGGUUAGACAGUAACAGGACAUGUUUAGGGUACCAUUCUCCCUGCAGGGUUAGACAGUAACAGGACAUGUUUAGGGUACCAUUCUCCCUGCAGUGUUAGACAGUAACAGGACAUGUUUAGGGUACCAUUCUCACUGACGGACUAGAUUUUCAAAUGUGUCUGCGCUUGGUCGAGACUCUGCUUGCUUUCAGAUGCCACUUUGGGUCAGGUAUCCAUCAGUAUAGAAAUGCAUUAGCGAAGCUACCGGUGGUGAAAUUGCACGUGUCAUAAGAGUGUCAUGUAGAAGGGUCAAGGUCAGGGUCAAUUUCAUCUCAACCCCGAGUCAAUUAAGGAAAAUCGUUGAAUUUUGAUUCACGAAUUGAAUAAAUCUUACUCGUUGAACAUGGUUAACCCACGGCCCACCCAUGAAUUGAAUAUCAAUUCCAUUUUGCGGAAUAUUUUUUAAUUUCUAUGUUAUCCUGAAACAGUUACUCGGUUGCAGUUACAUUUUCAAUACAUUUGUCUUUCAUCAAAUACAGAAGGGACAUAGUAAGCUGACGAAGAAAAUACAAGGCACUUUGCUUCCUUCAGACAGUGACUGUGAACACAGAUCUGUCUCUUUGCAAUGUGUGAGGUGUGAUUCAAUUACAUUCGAACUGCCUAUAGAGCAAUGAUAUUGACACUUAAUAACUGAAACACACAAAAUCACACAAUAUACUUAUAGUGUAUAUAUACUGAACAAAAAUAUAAACGCAACCAUGUGAAGUGAUGGUCCCAUGUUUCAUGAGCUGAAAUAAAAGACAUCCCUGUUAGUGAGCAUUUCUCCUUUGCCAACAAAUCCAUCCACCUGAAAGGUGUGGCACAUCAAGAAGCUGAUUAAACUGCAUUAUCAUUGCACAGGUGCACCUUGUGCUGGGGACAAUUAAAGGCCACUCUAAAAUGUGCAGUUUUGUCAAAACACAAUGCCACAGAUGUCUCAAGAAUUGAGGUAGCAUGCAAUUGGCAUGCUGACUACAGAAAUAUCCACCAGAGCGGUUGCCAGAGAAUGUUAUGUAAAUUUCUCUACCAUAAAACAUUGUUUUUAAAUAAUUUUAUGUUCAUUUCUCCACCAUAAGAAUUUGGCAAUACAUCCAACCGGCCUCACAAUCACAGACCACGUGUAACCGUGGCAACCCAGGACAUCCACAUCUGGCUCUUCACCUGCGGGAUCGUCUGAGACCAGCCACCAGGUCAGCUGAUGAAAACGUGGGUUUGCACAAACCGAAGAAUUUUUACACAAACUGUCAGAAACCGUCUCAGGGAAGCUCAUCUUUGUGCUCGUCGUCGUCACCGGUGUCUUGACCUGACUGCAGUUUGGCGGCGUAACCAACUUCAGUGGGCAAAAGCUCACUUUUGAUGGCCACUGACACAUUGGAGAAGUUUGCUCUUUGCGGAUUAAUCCCGGUUUCAACUGUACCGGGCAGAUGCAGGACAGUGUUGAUGGCGUCGUGUGGGCGAUGUCAAUGUUGAUGUCAAUGUUGCGAACAGAGUGCCCCAUGGAGGCGGUGGGGUUAUGGUAUGAGAAGGCAUAAGCUAGGGACAACGUACAUAAUUUGAUUUUAUCGAUGGCAAUUUGUAUGCACAGAGAUAACCAUGAUGAGAUCCUGAGGCCCAUUGUCGUGCCAUUCAUCUGUCGCCAACACCUCAUGUUUCAGCAUGAUAAUACACGGCAACAUGUCACAACGAUCUGGACACAAUUUCUGGAAACUGAAAAUGUCCCACUUCUUCUGUUGGCCUGCAUACUCACCAGACAUGUCACCACAUUGAGCAUGUUAGGGAUGCUCUGGAUCGACUUGUACGACAGCGCGUUCUAGUUCUCACCAAAAUCCAUCAAAUUCUCACAGUCAUUGAAGAGGAGUUGGGACAACAACCUACAGGCCACAAAUAACAGCCUGAUCAUCUCUAUGUGAAGGAGAUGUGUUGCGCUGCAUGAGGAAAAUGGUGGUCACACCAGAUACGGACUGGUUUUCUGAUCCAUGCCCUUACCUUUUUUUUAUGGCGCAUAUCUGCAUUCCCAGUCAUGUGAAAUCCAUAGAUUGGGGCAUAAUUAUAUUUUUGUUCAGUGUACAUCUGAUAUACAUAGAUCAUGCUCAUACAGAGGACCACAGAUGGAUAGAAUGCUCUUAUGUCAAUAUUAAUCACACAAGACAGACAGGGGUAGGGAAUGCUUGAUACCUGAAAGUUUAAUUAAUUACCAUCAACAACACCGAAGGCUCCAUAUCGACCUACAGGGGGACUGUCAAACCGAUAUCUGAUAUAGGCCUAGAGUGGGACUGUCAAACCGAUAUCUGAUAUAGGCCUAGAGUGGGACUGUCAAACCGAUAUCUGAUAUAGGCCUAGAAGGGGACUGUCAAACCGAUAUCUGAUAUAGGCCUAGAGGGGGACUGUCAAACCGAUAUCUGAUAUAGGCCUGAU